UACGUAGGGGGCAAGCGUUGUCCGGAUUUAUUGGGCGUAAAGAGCGUGUAGGCGGCCAGUUAGGUCUGCUGUGAAAACUCGAGGCUCAACCUCGAGACGGCGGCGGAAACCAUCUGGCUAGAGUCCGGAAGAGGAGAGUGGAAUUCCUGGUGUAGCGGUGAAAUGCGCAGAUAUCAGGAAGAACACCCGUGGCGAAGGCGGCUCUCUGGGACGGUACUGACGCUGAGACGCGAAAGCGUGGGGAGCGAACAGG
rnacentral:rRNA from 1 species